rnacentral:rRNA from 1 species
UUUGGGAUAACCCCGGGAAACCGGGGCUAAUACCGAAUAUGACUUCUGGUCGCAUGACCGGUGGUGGAAAGUUUUUCGGCCUGGGAUGGGCUCGCGGCCUAUCAGCUUGUUGGUGGGGUGAUGGCCUACCAAGGCGACGACGGGUAGCCGGCCUGAGAGGGCGACCGGCCACACUGGGACUGAGACACGGCCCAGACUCCUACGGGAGGCAGCAGUGGGGAAUAUUGCACAAUGGGCGGAAGCCUGAUGCAGCGACGCCGCGUGAGGGAUGACGGCCUUCGGGUUGUAAACCUCUUUCAGCAGGGACGAAGCGUAAGUGACGGUACCUGCAGAAGAAGCGCCGGCCAACUACGUGCCAGCAGCCGCGGUAAGACGUAGGGCGCGAGCGUUGUCCGGAUUUAUUGGGCGUAAAGAGCUCGUAGGCGGCUUGUCGCGUCGACUGUGAAAACCCGCAGCUCAACUGCGGGCCUGCAGUCGAUACGGGCAGGCUAGAGUUCGGUAGGGGAGACUGGAAUUCCUGGUGUAGCGGUGAAAUGCGCAGAUAUCAGGAGGAACACCGGUGGCGAAGGCGGGUCUCUGGGCCGAUACUGACGCUGAGGAGCGAAAGCGUGGGGAGCGAACAGGAUUAGAUACCCUGGUAGUCCACGCUGUAAACGUUGGGCGCUAGGUGUGGGGGGCCUCUCCGGUUCCCUGUGCCGCAGCUAACGCAUUAAGCGCCCCGCCUGGGGAGUACGGCCGCAAGGCUAAAACU